UGUCCAACCUGCACAAGAAUGCCAAGAAGUCCUUCUCGAAGACGAUUAAGGACAUGUACAAGCACUACAACGAGAGAUCUGGGUUGCUUCUUUGUGGCUUCCAAACUUGGAAAUGUUUGUCUGAAAGUUAGUUUAGUUUCUUUUUUGUGGAUUCACAGCUUCUCACAUGUACCAUCCUCUUAGACAUUUAGGUUUCCAAAGAAAUUAAAUGAAGAUAUGGUGGUAUGGUCUCAA